UUGUGUUGAUAAAAAAUAAAAGCAGUGGCCAACCAUCGCCGCAUGAAGAAGAAAACUAAGUAGCAGCCAUGGCUGCCGCAUAUGAAGAAAAAAUGAGAAAACCCAGCUAGAUCUGCAGCCGAAGAGGAUCGGCUCGGUCAUGCGACCGUUUGACAACUAAAACACCUGCCAAAUCUCACGUGUAAUAAUCGAUUUUUUCCAACCAUU
rnacentral:lncRNA from 1 species